rnacentral:rRNA from 1 species
AACGAACGCUGGCGGCAUGCCUAACACAUGCAAGUCGAACGGGAUCCUGGUUUCGGCCAGGUGAGAGUGGCGGACGGGUGAGUAACGCGUGGGAACCUGCCCAGUGGUGGGGGAUAACUGCGGGAAACUGCAGCUAAUACCGCAUGAGCCCGCAAGGGGAAAGAUUGAUCGCCAUUGGAGGGGCCCGCGUUCGAUUAGGUAGUUGGUGAGGUAACGGCUCACCAAGCCUACGAUCGAUAGCUGGUCUGAGAGGAUGAUCAGCCACACUGGGACUGAGAUACGGCCCAGACUCCUACGGGAGGCAGCAGUGGGGAAUAUUGGACGAUGGGGGCAACCCUGAUCCAGCAAUGCCGCGUGAGUGAUGAAGGCCUU